rnacentral:rRNA from 1 species
GGUAACUGCGAUGGGGGAACGGAGAAGGCUAGGUUGUCCGGGCGACGGUCGUCCCGGUUCAAGCAGGUAGGCAGAGUGAUUAGGCAAAUCCGGUCACUUAAUGCUGAGAUGUGAUGACGAACCACCAAGGUGGUGAAGCAAUUGAUGCCCCGCUUCCAGGAAAAGCCUCUAAGCUUCAGGUUACCAACAAUCGUACCCCAAACCGACACAGGUGGUCAGGUAGAGAAUACUCAGGCGCUUGAGAGAACUCGGGUGAAGGAACUAGGCAAAAUGG